rnacentral:rRNA from 1 species
ACCAGACUCCUACGGGAGGCAGCAGUGGGGAAUAUUGCACAAUGGGGGAAACCCUGAUGCAGCGACGCCGCGUGAAGGAUGAAGUAUUUCGGUAUGUAAACUUCUAUCAGCAGGGAAGAAAAUGACGGUACCUGACUAAGAAGCCCCGGCUAACUACGUGCCAGCAGCCGCGGUAAUACGUAGGGGGCAAGCGUUAUCCGGAUUUACUGGGUGUAAAGGGAGCGUAGACGGCAUGGCAAGUCUGAUGUGAAAACCCGGGGCUCAACCCCGGGACUGCAUUGGAAACUGUCAGGCUAGAGUGUCGGAGAGGCAAGUGGAAUUCCUAGUGUAGCGGUGAAAUGCGUAGAUAUUAGGAGGAACACCAGUGGCGAAGGCGGCCUGCUGGACGAUGACUGACGUUGAGGCUCGAAAGCGUGGGGAGCAAACAGGAUUAGAUACCCCCGUAACU